AUGCUGAUUAUUUUUAUCUACUUGCUUCUUUCUCCUUUCCCCCAGCAGCACCACAGUCUACAGGAGUUCUUUAGAGUGAACCCUUUCAAAUAUGAACACCAUUGUUUCACUGUUCCUCCUCAUGGACCUGACCUAAAUCUCCUCUGUGUGCAGAGGGUGAAGGUGCUGGAGAAGAAAUGUGGAUGUGCUGCAGAAACCAUUGCAGAUGAAAGAAGAAGAAGAAGAUCCUGUCCUGCCUUUGUUGGCCACAAGGUACCCACUGCUGGUUCCAGUAAACACAAGGCUGAAUGGAAACAUUUGUGAGCCAAAGGCAUCGGUGUCUGCCUCGUAAAAUCUCAAACUGAGAAAUGAGGGAUUAAAUGGCUGUGAACCCUUAAUUAAGUGCUCAGCACCAACGUGCCCUCCUGCUGGAGCCUGAGACGUGCUGAUAGGAGCUGGUGAGGAGCUGGAGCUUGUGGUACUCCUGAUUUUCAAGGUGGAAAAAAGUCCUGCGCUCUCUCUUUUUGAGACACCAUCUCAUGUGUGGCUGGUUCACAGGGCAGACUCCAAAACCAGUGGCAGUGGUGGGUUUUUAGUGGAAUGCAGUUAUUCUGGGAGAAGCAAAUUCCUGGGUGUGCGAG
rnacentral:lncRNA from 1 species